rnacentral:ribozyme from 1 species
AGAGUUCAGGGCCAUAGCAGAAGUGCUCAUGGCACAGCCAUGUCAGUUUCCAGUGAAUCUGUAAAUUCUGCU